GGGAGUAAUGGCAAGAGAGCAAUUCAACAAACAAGAGGAAUUCCUUAAGCAAGGCUAUCUCCCUAAGUUAAGGGUGGAGUCAGGAAAAUCCAAGUUAAGGAGUUUUAAGCAAACGAGGUUGAGCAGUGAUGAGGCGGGCGGUGUUGCGCAUAGACGAUGAAGAUCCUUCGGUAGAAUAGUACUCGGGCGGUGUUGCGCAUAGACGUUAUCUGCUCUUGACUCUUCCGCUGCAAUGUAAAAGUCGAGUUUGCGUUCUUUGUAUCGUGCACUCUGAUAUAUAUUAUUUGAGUUAUUUCGGUUCAA